GAGUUCACACGUCUGCUCUGCAGAGUUAAGGGUCAAUCUGACAAAGUUAUUUGUACAAAAAAAAGAUACAUUAUGUUACGACCAAGAACGACAAUGCCUAGUUAAUACUUUGUAAAAACAACUUAUUCAGAUUAACCGCUAGCUCUUGGACCAACACUUUGACAUUCACCAUAUAAUUUCAUACCGUCUUACUAUAAUCAAGGUUAAUUGAUUCUAUUUGAUAAUCUAACCUUCGAUUAUUGUUUGGUAAUAAAGGCGUCUAUCGUUACAAGUGCAUAAGAGCUCGACGGAUGACGAGAAUUGAAACAUUUGUGUGUGAUUCAAUUCCCGUAUCCGCAAUACAGUAGAGGAUUGGCUAAGAACGCGGUUACAAUGUCGGUCUAUUUAUUAAAUGUAAGAUAAGAUAACCUCAUACUUACGCUUAUAUCAUAGAAACUUAUUGCAGUUCAUUUUAAGCAAGACGCUGUGUCCGCUUGAAAUGACCUGCCAGAGCAACCAUUGUAUAAAACUGUUACAACGAUUUUAGUCCAUACAGACAUUGCGUCGGUUCGACGGUCCACAGGGUCCUAAGGUAGUACAUGUUUCGUAUCAGACAAUAUAUGUUAUAUUUGCGUUGGUUUAUUAUUGAUAUGUGCUGGUCGGCCGAAUAUUUGAUCAAUAAUUUUAUACUUAAAACAAUUUUGCAUGAUAUACAUAGUAGUUAUAUAUAUAUAGUAACGAAGAACUAUUAAAGUUCAUAAAUUGACAAUUUCAAUAAAAACCAGCGUAGUGACAAUUGAAUAACAAAUGAAUGUUGCUCUUACUUUAAUUAAUUAAUAUCACUCAUUUCGUUGUGUAACUUUUAGCGACGACUGAUGUAUUUGUUUCGCUUCGUUUUAAUCAAUAACGCAACAAUAUUAAAUAAACGGUGUGACACAAAUUUAGUUUCGACAACGAGACGAGAAUAUUGUGAAUACGGACAUUUUCGACGGCAUAUUUUUGUGUAAAUAUAUUUUUGGUUUUAAAUAUAAAAAAAUUGAAGGUGCAAUGUUAUAUAAUGCUGUAUUUAUGGUGUGCGUGAAGGUUCGGAGUACGCUUGUUGGCGCCAUUUGUUGUUGGUGAGAGGCCUGUUCGGUUGGUAUUCAUUUGUGUUGGAAGACUGAGGUUGAUUAUUCCAGUUCGAUGGACGUGCGAGUUAUUUGUUGAUUGAAUUUAAAUAUAAAGUCAUAUAUAUAGUUAGGUUAUAUUUUUUAAUAAAUAUAAUAUUGAGAUAUGUAAU